AUUGUAAUUUAUAAUGUGUAUUUGGUCAUUCAGAUGACCAAAUUUGUUUCUCAGAUAUAUUUGGUCUUCAUCCACAGUUCCUGACUUACGUUCCCCAAAACCUUGUCCUACCUGUUGAAAGUGAAAAAGGUAUCAUUUGUUGUGUUAAUGAGGUGAUGUUGCAUCUCCGGAAUGAGGCUGGCUGCCUGGAGAACCAACCUGGUAAUUAGAGGGUAGGAAUUUUUAGUUCCACCUCCUGACCCCUGGGGAGGAAAAAGGAGCUGGAUGUUGAAUCAAUAGCCAAUGGCCAAGGAUUUCACCAAUCACACCUUUGUAAUGAAGCCUCCUAAAAAGCCCGAAAGGACAGGGUUCAGAGAUCUUCUGGGUUGGUGAACAAACCCAUGGAGGUGUGGGUGAGUGUACUCCAGGAGAGGCCCUGGAAGCCCCACCCUUGCCCUCACAUCUUGCCCUAUGCAUCUCUUCCAUCUGGCUGUUUCUUAGUUAUUUCCUAAGUAUUCUUUCCUCAGUGCUGAAUACUAAUUUGAGGGGAUAUCUUUGGUUCUUUGCAGAGAAUGGAGGCUGCAGUAUCAACCCCUAGAGAUUUCCACCAGCUUGGGCCCCUGCAUGGUGCUCCUUCAUCUGGUUGAGUCUGCAGUUGCCAAGGGAGUGAUGGGAGAAUUUCUUGAAGAGGCUUCCAUUCAACCCUGCUCAUUUGCUGGGCUGGCUAUGUCUACAUAAUGGAGAAGAUGAGUCCUGACAGCAUCAGAUUUACAUAGUCCUGCAUGCCUUCUAGUAAGUAAAUAAGCCUCUCUCCCAGAUCAUCCAUAUCAAUCUUUGAAAAAUAUUCUGGCUCUGCUUGUAUCACAUGCAUUCUUGGACCAAUCACAAUGUGUGAGGGGGAAUGCAACACUCUCAUUGGCCAGCCUGAGUCACAGGCUGUCUCCCUGUAGGACAGAUGAAGCCCUGUCUUUGACAGCUCUUACUGUUCCCAAAACAUAAGGAGGCUGAGCAGACAAAAAGGUAAGAUGAUUAAAAUGGGCACAAGAAUUACUAACUUAACUAACUUAAUAAAUAGGGCAGUCUCACUUGCUGGGGGCUAAAUGAGGAAUAGAAGCAUAUGGAAAAAAGUUGCUUGCUACCUCAUUAAGCAAGAGAUACAAUGUGUUUAAAAUAGCUCCCUUGAGCACAGCACACUGCUUGAACAAUGAUGAAGAGAUGUAGACCUCUACUACUGGCAUAAUGAUAACUUUCAUCCCAGAAGCAUUUCUUUUUUCCUAGCACGGAAAUCAGGAGUCUCCAUAGUCAUUAUUCUGAAACAAAAAUCAGUUUAGAAGUAAAAAACCAUUACAACUAUCUUAUAGGAGAGAGAGAGAGAGAGAGAGAGAAAAUGUCUUCAUCCAAAGUCAAUGCCUAGUAGGGUGAAUAUAGGCAACCUCUAAUUUAGAAACUCUCCUGACAGAAUAGCAUUGAAUGUCUACCUCUGGAUUCUCUCAAGCUGGACAUCCUUCCAGAGCUGCUUUCCCAGGAGACCAUCUUAUCUUUUUCUGACUGGUCAUUACUCAAGGAAUCUUGGAGCAAGAGCUUGAGGUUAGUACUGUAGAUGAACUAGACCAAAGGGUCCUUUCCCUUCUCCCUUCUCCUCCCCUCCAUCCUCCAACCACCUUAGAAACUCAACUCUUAACUGCUCUACCAGCAUCUCCAUUGUACUUUCUCUAUUAUAAAAGUCUUCUUAUUUUGUUGUCCAAAUUUGUCUCUAUGUGCAUCUUUCCCCAUUUUUUCCAGCCCCCAUCAUUGACAAGAGGGCAAAGCCCCCGUUAAUUCAUUUUUGUCUCUACAGCAGUUCUUACUGCCUGGCAUAUAGUAGGUACUCAAAUCUUAGUUUAAUGAAUGAGAGCUUGACCAUUAUUUGUAACGUAGUGAUUCUCUGGUUUGUUAAGAGGCAGCGAGAAUAAAAUUCCAGGAAAUAUUUUCAGAAUUCAAAGAACUAUGGCUAUUCUAAGCUUAAAAUUAAAUAGUCUAAAUAUAUAAUUAUAUAUACUAGAUUGAAUCUCAUACUAUAUUUUGUUAUAGAAAAGUAGUAACAUUAUCACAGGUUUAAGGAAAGUAGUGAGACAUGUAGCUUAAGAUGAGCAUUAAGAGACUUCCUUUGUGGCACGGCAGGUUAAGAUCCAGCAUUGUCGCUACAGUGGCUUGGAUUCAAUUCCUGGCCUAGGAACUUCCAUAUGCCGCAGGCGGGGCCAAAAAAAAAAAAA
ensembl:lncRNA